rnacentral:tRNA from 1 species
UGGGAUGCAGCUCAUUGGUAGAGCACUUGCCUAGCAUGCACGAGGCCCUGGGUUUGAUCCUCAGCACUACAA